rnacentral:lncRNA from 10 species
GUAUAACCUUGGCUGUGCUAUGGCUGCCCAAAUUCCUUUAGUUCCUGCCUAUCCAUUUUACAAGUUGGUUCUCCAACCUUGCUGGUGAUCCUCUGGGCUACUUGAUAUCCCUUCAGAAUUUCAUUUAUGUUUAAGUUAGCCAGAGUUGCUUUCUGUUGUGUCUAACUGGUGAUGUUGACUAGUCACAUAGUACCCAGCAUGUUCUCUCUAAAUGGUGGUUCCCAGACAUUCAAGACUUCCUGUCUCAGGUCCAGGCUCAGAAGACACAAACAAACAAGAAACUACGUUUGGUUGUUCCAGCAUAAAACCUUGGGUUUGCAUUGGACAAGAUUGGCUUACUUUGGGUAAUAUAUGAUGCUUGAAUUGGCCAGACCUAGUUCAUGAGCCUGAAGUUGUGUUAGAGUUCAGCCCUACUGCAACUACUAGUGGUUAGGAUCACAGGCACUGCAUGCAGUCUACCUGGAUUUGUAAAUCUCAGUUCUGCCAUUUAAGAGCAAAUUACAUAUUUAUUUGUAAGUUAUCUGAGACAUCUCUCAAAUGGGAAUAAUAAUAGUACCUGUACCAAAGAGUUGGUAUGAGGAUUAAAUGAGUUAAUUAUGCAAAAUGCUCAGAUCAGUGCCUGCCAUGUGGUUAGAGCUUAAUGUAUGUUAGUUACCAUUCUUAGCUAUUACUGCAUGGACUGAGAAUAGUGAAGAGAUGGUUUCCAAAGGAAAUUCAGGGGGCUGUUACCAGAAGACGGUACGAAUGAAUGCUCGAAAGGCAAGAACAACAAAUGUCCACUACACUUCAUCCCCAAGUUCUAACAACCAACUACUGGAGGUGGGCAGCCAAUAAGCUCUUGCAUGAAGCCAGCUGGGAUUCACAGCUGCCUGUUGGUGUCAAUCUUAUCCCCCAAGGUGAAGUUCCAAAGCACAGUCAUGACCACCUGAUCAACACCCCAGGAGGGCUGAAUGUCUCUCUGGCAAUCAGCCCUCAUUUUUCUAGGCUUCACCUUUGUGGCAGUCUUAGAAAAUCCAUGGCUUGGCCAGCCUGAGUGCACAUUAAACCAUUUCAAAAUGUUGGAAGAGGAAGUCUGCAUGCUUAAUGUGUAAUUUAGCUGAAAGAACUGGA